GAAAAGUUUGGAUGACAUCAGGGGAGAUUUGAAAACCAUCCACCGCACUGCACAGAAAACUCAGUCAUCUGGAGCAGGGGACGAGCUGGGACCUGGAGCCAAGGAACUGGGAUCCUGGAAAAAUGCACGUGUGCCGAGUGCGUUUUUCAAGCUGCAGGGGCUGGAGCUUGCGCCUUGGCCAGCCAGCUCCUGACAAGUUCCAGCGUAUUCUCCAGUUUCUUCUAAAGUCAUCCACAUUCCUUUCAUGCCAGCCCGGACGGCAAUGC